AAGGGUAUAGCUCAGCGGCAAAGCACGUGCUUUGCAUGCGAGAGGUCCUGGGUUCAAUCCCCAGUACCUCCA
rfam:Camelus ferus unplaced genomic scaffold scaffold390, whole genome shotgun sequence.